rnacentral:rRNA from 1 species
GAUGAACGCUGGCGGCGUGCCUAAUACAUGCAAGUCGAGCGAACGGACGAGAAGCUUGCUUUUCUGAUGUUAGCGGCGGACGGGUGAGUAACACGUGGAUAACCUACCUAUAAGACUGGGAUAACUUCGGGAAACCGGAGCUAAUACCGGAUAAUAUUUUGAACCGCAUGGUUCAAAAGUGAAAGACGGUCUUGCUGUCACUUAUAGAUGGAUCCGCGCUGCAUUAGCUAGUUGGUAAGGUAACGGCUUACCAAGGCAACGAUGCAUAGCCGACCUGAGAGGGUGAUCGGCCACACUGGAACUGGGACACGGUCCAGACUCCUACGGGAGGCAGCAGUAGGGAAUCUUCCGCAAUGGGCGAAAGCCUGACGGAGCAACGCCGCGUGAGUGAUGAAGGUCUUCGGAUCGUAUAACUCUGUUAUUAGGGAAGAACAUAUGUGUAAGUAACUGUGCACAUCUUGACGGUACCUAAUCAGAAAGCCACGGCUAACUACGUG